CCAAGCCAUGACACAGAGGGAGGCAGGGAGAGAAGCUUAAGCUACUCAGUUGUUCCUGGCAAAGGCUACAUCUGUGUACGUAGCCAACUAAAUACACUGACAGCUGGGGGUAAACCAUAGACCUUAGAUAUGUUUGCAUUGCCAGCUUGUCUCCCCAACCUGCAGAGGUGCUGGGGAGGUGGGACAGGAGAGUUGUAAGGAUCUGUGCUGAUCUGCUUGCCUGGUGCUUCUCAGGGAACCCACAGUGCAGCUGAGCAGAGGACCUAGGUAUCCUAAGCCUUCAUCAAUUACCUUAACUACAAACCACGUUGCCUCUCAAGAAUAUUCAGAUCUGACCUACAGAUCUUUUAGUCCAGUUGCAAGGCCUGAAAGCAACUGUAGUUAUUGUGUCUCCCUUUAAUUUCUGAAAACCUGCACAUCAGUGUGCCACAGGAAUUCAAACACUGCCACGACAUUUUGAUGUGGGAUCCUGCUGCUGACUCCUGGUGCUGUGAGCUGUGCUCUGAGGGGUGAAAACUCACCAGAGCCCUAUGAGUAAACACAGUUGUGAAUUUGCUUGUGACAAUGCACCCGGCUUCGGUGUGAUUCUGCUCAGCUGCGCUUCCUGCUUGGGAAGUAACUUAUCAUCUUGUGCCCUUAUCAGUAACAACUCUGCCUGUUUGUACAGGGAAAAAAGAGUGUGGUGUGAUAGAUUUGUGUGCAGUUACUCUGUUGGGAAGCUGAAGACAGAAGAUAUCCUUUGUGAGAUUAUCCCCGGACUGGCAGCAGAGCUAUUAAUUUGGAUUUAUUUGUUGCAAGGUGGAAUUAAGAAAGGGGCAAUACUGAAUAAGAAUGUAGGUGCAUUAUGAAAUGUUACCUGUAAGGGAAAAGGAGGGAAGAAAAGAAAAUACGAGAUGUGACCUGAUCUUGCAACAUGGCUGAACACACACACACACACUUCCUCUCUCUGUGGAUAUUUCUGGUUUGAUUCUUUGUCUGCACUGACAACAGAUGGUGUUUUAAUAAAGUCCAGUAGGAAUAUUACUGUGAGUAAACA
rnacentral:lncRNA from 1 species